rnacentral:rRNA from 1 species
AUUGAACGCUGGCGGCAGGCCUAACACAUGCAAGUCGAACGGUGACAGGAAGCAGCUUGCUGCUUUGCUGACGAGUGGCGGACGGGUGAGUAAUGUCUGGGAAACUGCCUGAUGGAGGGGGAUAACUACUGGAAACGGUAGCUAAUACCGCAUAACGUCGCAAGACCAAAGAGGGGGACCUUAGGGCCUCUUGCCAUCGGAUGUGCCCAGAUGGGAUUAGCUAGUAGGUGGGGUAACGGCUCACCUAGGCGACGAUCCCUAGCUGGUCUGAGAGGAUGACCAGCCACACUGGAACUGAGACACGGUCCAGACUCCUACGGGAGGCAGCAGUGGGGAAUAUUGCACAAUGGGCGCAAGCCUGAUGCAGCCAUGCCGCGUGUAUGAAGAAGGCCUUCGGGUUGUAAAGUACUUUCAGCGGGGAGGAAGGGAGUAAAGUUAAUACCUUUGCUCAUUGACGUUACCCGCAGAAGAAGCACCGGCUAACUCCGUG